UACGAAGGGGGCUAGCGUUGCUCGGAAUGACUGGGCGUAAAGGGCGCGUAGGCGGCUGUUCAAGUCAGAUGUGAAAAUCCCGGGCUCAACCUGGGGACUGCAUUUGAUACUGGACGGCUUGAGUUCGGAAGAGGGUUGUGGAAUUUCCAGUGUAGAGGUGAAAUUCGUAGAUAUUGGAAAGAACACCGGUGGCGAAGGCGGCAACCUGGUCCGAUACUGACGCUGAGGCGCGAAAGCGUGGGGAGCAAACAGG
rnacentral:rRNA from 1 species